CAGCAGUCAGCCUGAUUGCUGCUCUCCUCACCCCAGCAGUGCCAGAGACGUGAAGCAGCACACUGGGAGCCACUAGGACUCAGCAAGCGCAUGUAUAAGCAUGACCAUCAGCAACACUGCGAAAGAGACUGAAAACCCAGACUGCAGGACUACACAGCACAGAGCACAGGAAUACUUAGAGCAAAUGGUCUCUCCUACCUGCCCC
rnacentral:lncRNA from 10 species